GGUGACUCAGUGGUAGAGUACUUGCCUUGCAUGCGUGAGGCCCUGGGUUCAAUUCCUCAGCACCA
rnacentral:tRNA from 1 species